GAAAUGCGAUAAGUAGUGUGAAUUGCAGAAUUCAGUGAAUCAUCGAAUCUUUGAACGCACAUUGCGCCCUUUGGUAUCCCUUGGGGCAUGCCUGUUCGAGCGUCAUCUAAACCCUCAAGCCCUGCUUGGUGUUGGGUGCCUGUCCCGCCCCCGUGCGUGGACUCACCUCAAAUCCAUUGGCGGCCCUCGUGCCGGCCCCGAGCGCAGCAGAAACGCGGUCUCGUGGCUCGGCGGAGCGUGCCCCAGAAGCAACAUUCACCGUUUUGACCUCGGAUCAGGUAGGGAUACCCGCUGAACUUAAGC
rnacentral:misc_RNA from 1 species